AACGCACGAGACCUGCGGACCUGCGGAGGGAUCAUUACCGAGUUGCUCCUGCUCUGCAGGAAACUCCCACCCUUGUUUACUGUCACUGUUGCUUGGCGAGACGCUACUCCUGUUAGACAGGAGUAGCCACCGGCUUUACGAGCUGGUGUGUGCUCGCCAAAGGUUUUUCACUCGAAUACGUGCUGUCAGAGCAAGCGAGAAUUGUUAAAAACUUUCAGCAACGGAUCUCUAGAUCGGAAG
rnacentral:misc_RNA from 1 species